rnacentral:lncRNA from 1 species
GUCAAGUCACCAGUCUCAUGACUUUAGGUCAACAACAAUAGUAAAAAAAUAAAAGAAGAAGAAGAAGUGCAAAAGGUCAACGAGAGUAGAUCGGUAAAGUAAAAUAAAGUAGAUUGAGUCACAGAGAAUAUAGGAGUCCCACAAAUUAUCCAAAUUCUUUUUGUAUGAUUCCUUGUAUCUCACAUUCCCGUUCGAAGAGCA